rnacentral:rRNA from 1 species
UACGGGGGGGGGCAAGCGUUUGUUCGGAAUUACUGGGCGUAAAGGGCGCGUAGGCGGCCUGCUAAGUCGAACGUGAAAUCCCCGGGCUCAACCCGGGAACUGCGUCCGAUACUGGCAGGCUUGAAUCCGGGAGAGGGAUGCGGAAUUCCAGGUGUAGCGGUGAAAUGCGUAGAUAUCUGGAGGAACACCGGUGGCGAAGGCGGCAUCCUGGACCGGUAUUGACGCUGAGGCGCGAAAGCGUGGGGAGCAAACAGG